rnacentral:tRNA from 1 species
GAGAAAGUCAUAGAGGUUAUGUGACUUGAAAUCAAUCUUAGGGGGUUCGAUUCCUCCCUUUCUUG